rnacentral:rRNA from 1 species
UACGAAGGGGGCAAGCGUUGUUCGGAAUUACUGGGCGUAAAGGGCGCGUAGGCGGCUUAUCAAGUCAGGCGUGAAAUUCCCGGGCUCAACCUGGGGGGCUGCGCUUGAUACUGAUGAGCUUGAAUGCGGGAGAGGAUAGUGGAAUUCCCAGUGUAGAGGUGAAAUUCGUAGAUAUUGGGAAGAACACCGGUGGCGAAGGCGGC